ACUUGAAUUGAAGAGUUUGAUCAUGGCUCAGAUUGAACGCUGGCGGCAGGCUUAACACAUGCAAGUCGAACGGUAGCAGGAGAAAGCUUGCUUUCUUGCUGACGAGUGGCGGACGGGUGAGUAAUGCUUGGGAAUCUGGCUUAUGGAGGGGGAUAACUACGGGAAACUGUAGCUAAUACCGCGUAGUAUCGGAAGAUGAAAGUGCGGGACCGUAAGGCCGCAUGCCAUGGGAUGAGCCCAAGUGGGAUUAGGUAGUUGGUGGGGUAAAGGCCUACCAAGCCUGCGAUCUCUAGCUGGUCUGAGAGGAUGGCCAGCCACACUGGAACUGAGACACGGUCCAGACUCCUACGGGAGGCAGCAGUGGGGAAUAUUGCGCAAUGGGGGGAACCCUGACGCAGCCAUGCCGCGUGAAUGAAGAAGGCCUUCGGGUUGUAAAGUUCUUUCGGUAUUGAGGAAGGUUGAUGUGUUAAUAGUACAUC
rnacentral:rRNA from 1 species